rnacentral:tRNA from 1 species
GGGGUUGUGGCUAGGUGGUAGAGCGCUUGCCUAGUAUGCAUGAAGCACUGGGUUCGAUUCUCAGCACCA